ACAUGUGAGAAACCCACUGAAGAGGAUACAAAGAGAGGUAUGCACCAUUAGUCACCUCUUGUGACACAACAAACCAGUUUUUAAAUGUAAACUGCAGACAUCCUGACCAAUACAGCAACAUAAGACAUUCAGGCCACUGGCUAGUAGCGACCAGUGAUGGGAUGACAGGAGGAACUGUUCAUAUACACCAUGACACCAACUCUUAAGAGAACAACUACUCUACUAGAAAUUCAUGUCUGGUGAAAUGGGGCCAGGUUCUUAUUCCUGUAUUUCCAAAUGGAACAAGAAGAACUGCCUUGCACAUCCUCUAGAAUCACACCUCAAGUGGUCCUUUGAUUCCAGCAGAGGGGUCUGUCCACAGGGCCAGAGCAGGAUAGGACCCUCUGUCUUCCCAGUGAAGCAAGACCCCAGAUGAGACUGAAGAGGAGACCAGGCCCAGGAGCUGGGAGGAAAAACAGGAGGACACAGAAUUCAGCUCAUGGCCUGCACAUCCUUGCAUCCAAAGCAUAUGUCUGGUCCCCAGCCUGGGGCUCCACUCACUGAGAGGACUAACACCUUCUGACACUGCCUGGACACAGGGCAGGAGGAUCAAUGCAGAAUCCACAGAGGUAAGACAAUGAGGAAGGAGGAAAUAGAGCCACUGUCCCUCU